rnacentral:rRNA from 1 species
ACUAUGGAGAGUUUGAUCCUGGCUCAGGAUGAACGCUAGCGGCAGGCCUAAUACAUGCAAGUCGAACGGGAUCUAUAAUCAGCUUGCUGAUUAUAGUGAGAGUGGCGGAUGGGUGCGUAACGCGUGAGCA